rnacentral:lncRNA from 1 species
AUGUCAGAAGCUCAGCUUCAAGACUGUUGUGAAUCGGAGCUAUCACAAGUAUUACAAAUCAUAAUCACCACCAUCACUGUCAAAUAAGCAUGUAUUCCUGGUGGCAGCUUAAAUCAGCAAUACAAACAAUGUGCUCAUUUUCCUUUUGUUUAUCAUGAGUACUGAAAGUCACCACUACAGUACUGAACCAGAGGUCUAUUAGUGAAGAUUUACGAUUUUCCAGUAAAAGCCUAGAAUCUGUGGCUAUAAGGAGGAAGUUUUUUACUGUAAGGGUAGUGAAACACUGUGAUGGGUUGUCCAGAAAAGUGGUGGAUGCUGCAUUGCUGGAGACAUUCAACGUCAGGCUGGAUGGGGCUCUAAGCACCCUAAUCUAGCUGUAGGUGUCUGUUCACUACAGGGGAGUUGGACUAGAUGGCCUUUAAGGGUCCCUUCCAACUCAAACGAUUCUAUGACACAAUUCUAUUCUAUGAUCUACAGACAGACUUGUCUCUCCAUCUAGCAGAUUGCUACGUAAGGUUUACUUUGAAUCACCUCUUUAUAUCUGCAGGUGCAUUACAUCUCUAGAAGUAGAUAGUGAACAGGAGUAAGAGGACCAAUGUCUCUGGAAUGCUAAAAGGGAACGUUAAAAUGGUGCUGCACAAAAAAUCCAAACUGAAGAAACUCUUGGGUAAGGGAUACAACUCCAUAUCAAAGAAGAUGUGAGUUCUCAUUGCCAAGAAGGCCAAAGGAUUCCCCCUUUUCCUUCACUGGAGUGCAUAGUUGGGAAGGAUUUAGAAUUCCUCCAUUAUGUUUCAUGUGUUUUAUGUCAUAAUUAUUAGGUUAAAAAAAAAAUAAAACUUGGACAUUUCCAUAAAGUAUACCCUUUUCUUCAUUUGCAUAACAAUGUAUAAGGGUUUGAAGUUGUGAGAUGCUUAAUUACUUUGAAAUCCCACUCAUUGAAUGUGUGUUCUGACUUGUGUAUACCCACUAUCUGCAGUGUAAUUUUAAGUAUACAGUGCUUUGCAUAAUUUCAUCUGUAAACAGCUGCAGAAGCUCCUGCUUUACAUAAACAACAACUGCUCAUCAUAGUCUCAGAAAGUCAUGGGUCUGUUUUAUAAACAAACAAACAAAAAACGCCUAUGCAUAAUGCAGUAUUUGGAAACAAACUUGGACAUUACUCACUCUUCAGAGCCUCUCCUGGUUUUGUUACCUCACACAGAAGAAGCUGACAUGCCUCUCCAUUAGAUGUCAAGAGCUCUUAAUGAAAGAAUUGAAAUAAAAGAUUUAAAUUUGCCUUAUUUCAACCUAAACAAUUUACUGACUGUCUAAUAAUGACUUUUUCAAACUACCGUAUGUGAAAGAAGCAGCAAUAUUUAGUAGAUAUAGAGGUAUUCAGUCUUCUAGAAGGAAAAAUGGCAUAUCUCAAUAGCCCUACUCAUUUUUAUUAUCUUUCUUACAAAAGUCUUAAUGGAAAUAUAUCUUUGUAAUAAUGUCUGUGUAUCAUCUGUAGAUAAAAGUCCCAAUGUUUUUUCGUUAUUUU